AUGUAUGAUCCUGUGAAAUACUUUUUUCUAGAAAUAUGGACUAAUGGAAGUUUAACCCCUAAGGAAGCACUUUAUGAGGCUUCUCGUAAUUUGAUUGAUUUAUUUCUUCCUUUUCUACACGCGGAGGAAGAGGGCGCUAGUUUCAAAGAAAAUAAAAACAGGUUUACUCCACCCCUUACGUUUCAAAAAAGAUUAACUAAUCUAAAGAAAAACAAAAAAGGAAUUCCAUUGAAUUGUAUUUUUAUUGAUCAAUUAGAAUUGACUUGUACGUAUAAUUGUCUAAAAAGGGCCAAUAUACAUACACUAUUGGACCUUUUGAGUGAGACUGAAGAAGAUCUUUUGAGAAUUGACAAUUUUCAUAUGGAAAAUAGAAAACAUAUAUGGGACACUCUAGAGAAGCAUCUCCAAUUGAUUUACUUAAGAAUAAACUCUCGUUUUAAAUCCAUUGCAAUUUUUCUUCUUCUUCUUUUUCGAGUUAGAAUAAAAAAACAAUUUAACAUCUUUGGUACAAUCUAUAUUUUCGUGAAAUAG
rnacentral:rRNA from 1 species